CUCUCUCUCUCUCUCUCAUCGCCCCACAGUCCUGGGAGCAGGGGGAGGCCAUUCAGCCCAUCGAUUUGAUGCUGCUGUCAGCACGAUCUUAAAAGCUUUUCACUGUACCUCGGUACACGUGAUAAUAAACUAAACUGAAACUUCUACCUCAACUCAUUGUCAGCAAGAUAUUUUACUAAAGCUACUUGUCAGCAAGAUCUUCCAUCUCAGCGCGAGUCUGAAGAAGGGUUUCGGCUCGAAACGCCGCCUAUUUUCUUCGCUCCAUAGAUGCUGCUGCACCCGCUGAGCUUCUCCAGCAACUUUGUGUACCUUCUUCCAUCUCAGCACCUUGUCAACAAGAUCUUUUACCUCGGGCAGAUAUUCAACCUCAUUUUGUCAGCAAGAUUUUCCACCUCACUUUGUCCAAAAGAUUUUCUACCUCAACUUAUUGUCAAAAAGACCUUCCAUUUCAGCUAAUUUUCUUGGACUAUUCCCACAUCCUUUGAUUUCCUCACAAAUAAAAAUCAAUGGAUUACUGAUUGGUCAAUUGUACGCUACACUCUAUACGCUCGAGACAAAGACACAAGGAACUGUAGAUGUUGGAUGCACCUGAGUUAAACUUGAAAAAGACACCAAAUAAAAUUGGUGAAUGCAGUAGCCUGUGUGGUUAUAAAUGAACAGGAGAAGGAAAGACAACUUUCUCUCUUUCACUGCCUGCGAUCCAUGUAGCACAAGGAGGCCAUGCAGCCCAUUGGCCCGGUGCUGCAGUCAGCAAGAUCUUCUACCUCAGCUCCCUGUCAGCAAGACCUUCCACCUCAGCUAAUUUUUUUUGACUAUCUCCAUAUCCUUUGAUUCCCUCAAAAACAGAAAUCAAUGGCAUCAAAUACAACCAAUAAUUAAGCCUCCAUAUCUUUUUCAGUCAGGCAGUCAAACUGCUGAAUCGAGGAGAUUGAUGCUCCAGAUAUUGAAGCUGGGCGAUGGAAGAUCCCGUGACUGAUUUUAAGCCGCGCCGGGUGAUGAAAGGCCCUGCGAAUGGGCUGAUUCAAACCUUGCGAUUCGGAAUGGAUGAAGUUGCUGUUGCCCGAGCUCCUGAAAAAUGGGUCGCCAACCAGGGACCUGCGAGCUCCCAAUUUUACAGACCGCAGGGCCCGCAGCCGAAGCCUCCGAGGCCUCCGAAAGUCGAUUUGCAGCCGCAAUUGCAGCACCACCACAGCCUCCGAAAGCCAGCGAGCCCCGCGAUGGUCAGUUCACAGGCUCUGCAACUGGAGCCCUCAAGGUCGAUUCCAGUUGGAGGCAGCCAGCAACUGGAAUGUUAGGUCGCAGCACGAACGGAGAUAUGGCACGGAAAAAAGUCACAUCUCCGUUGAAGAAGGAGAUUUUAAAAAGUUUUCCUCACCCCACCCCACCCCCACAUGUACACAACUAAAAAAUACUAUAACAUACAUCUAACAUGAACGAUAAGACAAAGAAGGAAGAAAUACAGACAGACUGCAGGCGUGCCACAUCUGCAGACACAGCGCUGCCACUUGUAUAUCUUGGCAUCAUGCUUUAUUUGAUAACUCUUGUGAAAUGCCUUGGUGCAUUUUAUUAUGUAAAAGGCCCAAAUAAACAGAGAAUUGAUGUUAUCACAAAGUACAAAAUGGGAUUGUGUAAUUUGUCCACAUAAUAAUAUUUACUGACAUUUGAUAGCACAUGGAUUCGUACUGGAUUAAGACAAAGAAUCCGUUUCAAAUCAUUCUUCUAAAAUACGCACAAUACACUAUUCACACACAAAUGCAAUUUGUUUCUCAAAAGAGUUCCCUGAGUGUAACAGACAAAAUGUGUAGGAAAGAACUGCAGAUGCUGGUUUAAAUCGAAGAUAGGCACAAAAUGCUGGAGUAACUCAGCGGUUCAGGCAGCAUUUCUGGAGAGAACGCAUGGGUGACGUUUCGGGUCGAGUCACUUCUUCAGACUGAUGUCAGGGGAGUGGGUGGUACAGAGAUAAAAUGGAGUCGGAGACAAUAAGACUGUUGGAGAACUGGGAACGGAGAGGGAAUGGAGAGGGGGAAAAGCGAGGGCAACCUGAAGUUAGAGAAGUCAAUGUUCAUACUGCUGGUGAUAGAGAUAGUGAGAUCUAGAAACGGUAGGGAGAUGUCGGAGAUGGUCCAAGUGAAUUUAAGUGCAGGAUGGAAAUUAGUUGUGAGGUUAAUGAAGUCAGUGAGUUCUGCAUGGGUGCAGGAAGUAGCAUUGAUGCAAUCGUCAAUCCCUUAACAACUUCUCCUUCGACUCCUCCCACUUCCUCUAAAUCCAAGGCAUAGGUAAGGGCACUCGCAUGAGCCCCAGCGAUGCCGGAAGUGGCGGCGCUGUUAACAGCUGCGGCUCGCCUGCAGUCCGCCUGUCUUUACUUUUUUCUUAAGAAAAGAUCUUAAAAGCUUUUCACUGUACCUCGGUACACGUGAUAAGAAACUAAACUGAAACUUCUACCUCAACUCAUUGUCAGCAAGAUAUUUUACUAAAGCUACUUGUCAGCAAGAUCUUCCAUCUCAGCACCUUGUCAACAAGAUCUUUUACCUCAGGCAGAUAUUCAACCUCAUUUUGUCAGCAAGAUUUUCCACCUCACUUUGUCCGAAAGAUUUUCUACCUCAACUUAUUGUCAAAAAGACCUUCCAUUUCAGCUAAUUUUCUUGGACUAUUCCCACAUCCUUUGAUUUCCUCACAAAUAAAAAUCAAUGGAUUACUGAUUGGUCAAUUGUAUGCUACACUCUAUACGCUAGAGACAAAGACACAAGGAACUGUAGAUGUUGGAUGCACCUGAGUUAAACUUGAAAAAGACACCAAAAUAAAUUGGUGAAUGCAGUAGCCUGUGUGGUUAUAAAUGAACAGGAGAGGGAAAGACAACUUUCUCUCUUUCACUGCCUGCGAUCCAUUUAGCAAGAGGAGGCCAUUCAGCCCAUUGGCUCGGUGCUGCAGUCAGCAAGAUCUUCUACCUCAGCUCCCUGUCAGCAAGACCUCAGCUAAUUUUUUUGGACUAUCUCCAUAUCCUUUGAUUCCCUCAAAAACAGAAAUCAAUGGCAUCAAAUACAACCAAUAAUUAAGCCUCCAUAUCUUUUUCAGUCAGGCAGUCAAACUGCUGAAUCGAGGAGAUUGAUGCUCCCGAUAUUGAAGCCCCCGCUGGGCGAUGGAAGAUCCCGUGACUGAUUUUAAGCCGCGCCGGGCGAUGAAAGGCCCUGCGAAUGGGCUGAUUCAAACCUUGCGAUUCGGGGUGGACGAAGUUGCUGUUGCCCGAGCUCCUGAAAAAUGGGUCGCCAACCAGGGACCUGCGAGCUCCCAAUUUUACAGACCGCAGGGCCCGCAGCCGAAGCCUCCGAGGCCUCCGAAAGUCGAGUCGCAGCCGCAAUUGCAGCACCACCACAGCCUCCGAAAGCCAGCGAGCCCCGCGAUGGUCAGUUCACAGGCUCUGCGACUGGAGCCCUCAAGGUCGAUUCCAGUUGGAGGCAGCCAGCAACUCGAAUGUUAGGCCGCAGCGCGAACGGAGAUGUGGCACGGAAAAAAGUCACAUCUCCGUUGAAGAAGGAAAUUUAAAAAAGUUUUCCCCACCCCCCACAUGUACACAACUAAAAAUAUACUAUAACAUACAUCUAACAUGAACGAUAAGACAAAGAAGGAAGAAAUACAGACAGACUGCAGGCGUGCCACAUCUGCAGACACAGCGCUGCCACUUGUAUAUCUUGGCAUCAUGCUUUAUUUGAUAACUCUCGUGAAAUGCCUUGGUGCAUUUUAUUAUGUAAAAGGCCCAAAUAACCAGAGAAUUGAUGUUAUCACAAAGUACAAAAUGGGAUUGUGUAAUUUGUCCACAUAAUAACAAUAUUUAUUGACAUUUGAUAGCACAUGGAUUCGUACUGGAUUAAGACAAAGAAUCCGUUUCAAAUCAUUCUUCUAAAAUACACACAAUACAGUAUUCACACACAAAUGCAAUUUGUUUCUCAAAAGAGUUCCCUGAGUGUAACAGACAAAAUGUGUAGGAAAGAACUGCAGAUGCUGGUUUAAAUCGAAGAUAGGCACAAAAUGCUGGAGUAACUCAGCGGUUCAGGCAGCAUUUCUGGAGAGAACGCAUGGGUGACGUUUCGGGUCGAGUCACUUCUUCAGACUGAUGUCAGGGGAGUGGGUGGUACAGAGAUAAAAUGGAGUCGGAGACAAUAAGACUGUUGGAGAACUGGGAACGUAGAGGGGAUGGAGAGGGGAAAAGCGAGGGCAACCUGAAGUUAGAGAAGUCAAUGUUCAUACCGCUGGUGAUAGAGAUAGUGAGAUCUAGAAAUGGUAGGGAGAUAUCGGAGAAGGUCCAAGUGAAUUUAAGUGCAGGAUGGAAAUUAGUUGUGAGGUUAAUGAAGUCAGUGAGUUCUGCAUGGGUGCAGGAAGUAGCAUUGAUGCAAUCGUCAAUCCCUUAACAACUUCUCCUUCGACUCCUCCCAUUUCCUCUAAAUCCAAGGCAUAGGUAAGGGCACUCACAUGAGCCCCAGCUAUGCCUGCCCUUUUGUUGGGUACGUCAAACAAUCACUGUUCCAGGUGUACACUGGCCCAAACCCGGAACUCUACCUCCUCUACAUUGAUGACUGCGCCCAUGCAGAACUCACUGACUUCAUAAACCUAAUGACUAAUUUACAUCCUGCACUCAAAUUCACUUGGACCAUCUCCGACAUCUCCCUACCAUUUCUAGAUCUCACCGUCUCCAUCACAGGAGACAGACUAUUACCCGACAUCUACUACAAACCCACUGACUCCCAUGGCUAUCUAGACUACAUUUCUUCCCAUCCUGCUUCCUGUAAAGACUCUAUCCUAAUUCCUCCGUCUACACCGCAUCUGUGCCCAAGAUGAGGUGUUCCAUACCAGGUCAUCGGAGAUGUCCUCAUCCUUUAGGGAAUGGAUGUUCCCCUCUUCUAUUGUGGAUGAAGCUCUCACUAGGGUCUCCUCGAUAUCCACAGCUCUGCUCUUGCUCCCCCUCCCCCCCAAUCAUUACAAGCACAGUCCCCCUUGUCCUCACCUUCCUACCCCAUCAACUGUCGCAUAUUCCUCCAACAUUUUCGCCACCUUCAACAGGAUCCCACCACUAGCCACAUCUUCCCAUCUCCACCCCUUUCCGCUUUCCACAGAAACUAUUCCCUCCGCAACUCCCUGGUCAACUCGGCCCUUCCCACCUAAACCACCCCUCCCCA